UCCCCAGUGGUCUAGUGGUUAGGAUUCCACACUCUCACUGCAGAGAGCCCAGGUUCAAUCCCUGGUUGGGGAA